rnacentral:rRNA from 1 species
UGGGGAAUAUUGGACAAUGGGCGCAAGCCUGAUCCAGCCAUGCCGCGUGAGUGAUGAAGGCCCUAGGGUUGUAAAGCUCUUUCACCGGUGAAGAUAAUGACGGUAACCGGAGAAGAAGCCCCGGCUAACUUCGUGCCAGCAGCCGCGGUAAUACGAAGGGUGCUAGCGUUGUUCGGAUUUACUGGGCGUAAAGCGCACGUAGGCGGACUAUUAAGUCAGGGGUGAAAUCCCGGGGCUCAACCCCGGAACUGCCUUUGAUACUGGUAGUCUUGAGUUCGAGAGAGGUGAGUGGAAUUCCGAGUGUAGAGGUGAAAUUCGUAGAUAUUCGGAGGAACACCAGUGGCGAAGGCGGCUCACUGGCUCGAUACUGACGCUGAGGUGCGAAAGCGUGGGGAGCAAACAGG